AGUGAACGCUGGCGGUAGGCCUAACACAUGCAAGUCGAACGGCAGCACAGUAAGAGCUUGCUCUUACGGGUGGCGAGUGGCGGACGGGUGAGGAAUACAUCGGAAUCUACUUUUUCGUGGGGGAUAACGUAGGGAAACUUACGCUAAUACCGCAUACGACCUACGGGUGAAAGCAGGGGAUCUUCGGACCUUGCGCGAUUGAAUGAGCCGAUGUCGGAUUAGCUAGUUGGCGGGGUAAAGGCCCACCAAGGCGACGAUCCGUAGCUGGUCUGAGUGGAUGAUCAGCGACACUGGAACUGAGACACGGUCCAGACUCCGACGGGAGGCAGCAGUGGGGAAUAUUGGACAAUGGGCGCAAGCCUGAUCCAGCCAUACCGCGUGGGUGAAGAAGGCCUUCGGGUUGUAAAGCCCUUUUGUUGGGAAAGAAAAGCAGCAGGUUAAUACCCCGCUGUUCUGACGGUACCCAAAGAAUAAGCACCGGCUAACUUCGC
rnacentral:rRNA from 1 species